GGCUAUCCACCUCAAGGGUACUACCCCCCACAGCAACAGCCUAUGUACUACCCGCCCCCACAACCCGUGUACCAUCCCCAACAACCACAAUACUAUCAACAACAAGGGCCACCCCAAGAUAGCGGAGUCUGCGGAAAGCUGUUCUCGGCGGCAGCAUGGAUGGCGUGCAUGACUUGCAUAUGCUGUUCGAUAUGCCAAUCGCUGGGCCCUCUGUUGGGCAUGGGCAACGGUAAUGACGAUGACGAUUGACUAAUCUCGAUUAUGGCAAGCGGAAUUUAGUAAUUAGGGAUGCGACAAAAGGGAUGAUGUUAUGUUUAUUAUCGAUAUAAGAUGUACAUCAAGAUUGCAGACAGACUAAUAUACUACUUUAUUUUAAUCUUAUCAGUUCCAGGCAUGAUUUUGUGGAUGCUGCACCUGCAGUGCUAUUUACUGCAUAAAUUAACAAUGAACUUUGUUUUGGCGUGAGUUCCAAUUGCGUCCCUAUCUCUUUGUAGAAGACGCUAGUGCCUGGGGCCCUUAUGUCAUUAAUGAUCCUUGAUUUUAUAAGUCAGGUUUUUACUUAAUGCUUCUCCCGUUCAUCGCUAUCGCUCAUGGAACAAGAGCAUAGUUUCACUUCCCAGGCUAUACAAAAUACCUAACUUGUCAAUGUUCGUAAAUGGUUAACCCCGUAAUUAAUCAGAAAUACAGUUCAAGUGUUUUGUAUUAAGUUUUGAGGAUUGUUAUUAAUUAUAAUGUGAUCGUCAUCAUCAUAGCCACUGGAAGACAAUGGAAGAUUCUAACCAAUCAAACUACUUUAUGAUUUAUGAAGUAGUUCUCUCAUGCGACUGUGUGAUGACCUGAUGAUUGUGAUUUGAAUAUAAUAUUUAUUAAAUCUUACUCGGUUCUUUCUUUUGUAAAAAGAUGAUGAAAAGUAAUGAUGUGGCUCCUCGUAGAUGUCGUAAGAGCCGAUAAAGCGAAUAAACACCUGAGUUGAAUAAAAUGCUGUCGUUUCAUUUAAUUACCUUACCCGCUCUUUGGAACGUAUUUAG